rnacentral:tRNA from 1 species
GAGAAAGUGACAGAGUGGUGAUGUGGCUGGCUUGAAACCAGCAUAUGGGGGUUCAAUUCCUUCCUUUCUUG